rnacentral:rRNA from 1 species
GACGAACGCUGGCGGCGUGCCUAAUGCAUGCAAGUUGAGCGAUGAAGAUUGGUGCUUGCACCAAUUUGAAGAGCAGCGAACGGGUGAGUAACGCGUGGGGAAUCUGCCUUUGAGCGGGGGACAACAUUUGGAAACGAAUGCUAAUACCGCAUAACAACUUUAAACAUAAGUUUUAAGUUUGAAAGAUGCAAUUGCAUCACUCAAAGAUGAUCCCGCGUUGUAUUAGCUAGUUGGUGAGGUAAAGGCUCACCAAGGCGAUGAUACAUAGCCGACCUGAGGGGGUGAUCGGCCACAUUGGGACUGAGACACGGCCCAAACUCCUACGGGAGGCAGCAGUAGGGAAUCUUCGGCAAUGGACGAAAGUCUGACCGAGCAACGCCGCGUGAGUGAAGAAGGUUUUCGGAUCGUAAAACUCUGUUGGUAGAGAAGAACGUUGGUGAGAGUGGAAAGCUCAUCAAGUGACGGUAACUACCCAGAAAGGGACGGCUAACUACGUG